AUUGAACGCUGGCGGCAUGCUUUACACAUGCAAGUCGAACGGCAGCACAGGGAGCUUGCUCCCGGGUGGCGAGUGGCGCACGGGUGAGUAAUACAUCGGAACGUGUCCUAUUGUGGGGGAUAACUGCUCGAAAGGGUGGCUAAUACCGCAUGAGACCUGAGGGUGAAAGCGGGGGAUCGCAAGACCUCGCGCAAUUGGAGCGGCCGAUGCCCGAUUAGCUAGUUGGUGAGGUAAAGGCUCACCAAGGCGACGAUCGGUAGCUGGUCUGAGAGGACGACCAGCCACACUGGGACUGAGACACGGCCCAGACUCCUACGGGAGGCAGCAGUGGGGAAUUUUGGACAAUGGGGGCAGCCCUGAUCCAGCCAUGCCGCGUGCAGGAUGAAGGCCUUCGGGUUGUAAACUGCUUUUGUCAGGGACGAAAAGGACCGUGUUAAUACCAUGGUCUGCUGACGGUACCUGAAGAAUAAGCACCGGCUAACUACGUGCCAGCAGCCGCGGUAAUACGUAGGGUGCAAGCGUUAAUCGGAAUUACUGGGCGUAAAGCGUGCGCAGGCGGUUCUGUAAGACAGAUGUGAAAUCCCCGGGCUCAACCUGGGAAUUGCAUUUGUGACUGCAGGACUAGAGUUCAUCAGAGGGGGGUGGAAUUCCAAGUGUAGCAGUGAAAUGCGUAGAUAUUUGGAAGAACACCAAUGGCGAAGGCAGCCCCCUGGGAUGCGACUGACGCUCAUGCACGAAAGCGUGGGGAGCAAACAGG
rnacentral:rRNA from 1 species